GAUGAACGCUGGCGGCGUGCCUAAUACAUGCAAGUCGAGCGAACAGACGAGGAGCUUGCUCCUCUGACGUUAGCGGCGGACGGGUGAGUAACACGUGGAUAACCUACCUAUAAGACUGGGAUAACUUCGGGAAACCGGAGCUAAUACCGGAUAAUAUAUUGAACCGCAUGGUUCAAUAGCGAAAGACGGUUUUGCUGUCACUUCUAGAUGGAUCCGCGCCGCAUUAGCUAGUUGGUAAGGUAACGGCUUACCAAGGCAACGAUGCGUAGCCGACCUGAGAGGGUGAUCGGCCACACUGGAACGGAGACACGGUCCAGACUCCUACGGGAGGCAGCAGUAGGGAAUCUUCCGCAAUGGGCGAAAGCCUGACGGAGCAACGCCGCGUGAGUGAUGAAGGUCUUCGGAUCGUAAAACUCUGUUAUUAGGGAAGAACAAAUGUGUAAGUAACUAUGCACGUCUUGACGGUACCUAAUCAGAAAGCCACGGCUAACUACGUG
rnacentral:rRNA from 1 species